rnacentral:misc_RNA from 1 species
CUGACAGUACUAAUGCAUUUCCUUGAGGAAUGAUCCCAGUCGUGUCAUGUUUAUUGGUUGCUUUUAUUCUUCCUCCCUCUCCACUUGCUAACAUAAAGUUAACAAGGAAACUGUUAGAUAAUUGGUAAUGAAACUUGAAAUUAUAUGAAUGUGAUUUUCACUUUUGCAGGUCGAUGCUGUUGUGUACUUGGUGGAUGCCGCUGACAAGGAGAGGUUCCCAGAGUCAAAAAAGGAGUUGGAUGCACUCCUCUCGGACGACUCACUGGCGACUGUACCUUUUCUGAUUCUGGGUAACAAGAUUGAUAUCCCUUAUGCAGCACCGGAGGAUGAGCUACGAUACAGCCUGGGAUUGAGCAAUUUCACAACGGGCAAGGGCAAAGUGAACCUUGCAGAUUCCAAUGUCCGCCCCCUUGAGGUCUUCAUGUGCAGCAUUGUUCGCAAGAUGGGAUAUGGCGAGGGCUUUAAGUGGAUGUCCCAGUACAUCAAGUAAUUUGACGGUGAGAAUGAAAAACCUGGGGAUACUGUCGCUUUUAUCUUUAUCUAGU